AGCUCAAAUUUGAAAUCUGGCUUAGGCCCGAGUUGUAAUUUGCAGAGGAUGUUUCUGGCGCGGUGCCAUCCGAGUUCCCUGGAACGGGACGCCAUAGAGGGUGAGAGCCCCGUAUGGAUGGCCACCAAGCCUGUGUGAAACUCCUUCAACGAGUCGAGUAGUUUGGGAAUGCUGCUCAAAAUGGGAGGUAAAUCUCUUCUAAAGCUAAAUACUGGCCAGAGACCGAUAGCGCACAAGUAGAGUGAUCGAAAGAUGAAAAGCACCUUGAAAAGGGGGUUAAACAGUACGUGAAAUUGUUGAAAGGGAAGCGCUCAUGACCAGACUUGUGCCGGGCAGCUCAUCCGGGGUUCUCCCCGGUGCACUCUGCCCGGUUCAGGCCAGCAUCGGUUUUUGCUGGGGGAUAAGAACGGUAGGAACGUGGCCCUCUCUCGGGAGGGUGUUAUAGCCUACCGUACGAUACCCUAGCGGAGACCGAGGUUCGCGCUCCGCAAGGAUGCUGGCGUAAUGGUCAUCAGCGACCCGUCUUGAAACACGGACCAAGGAGUCGUCCAUUAGAGCGAGCGUUUGGGUGUCAAACCCGCACGCGUAAUGAAAGUGAAAUUAGGUGAGAGCUUCGGCGCAUCAUCGACCGAUCCUGAUGUUCUCGGAUGGAUUUGAGUAAGAGUUUUAACGGACGGACCCGAAAGACAGUGAACUAUGCUUGUAUAGGGUGAAGCCAGAGGAAACUCUGGUGGAGGCUCGCAGCGGUUCUGACGUGCAAAUCGAUCGUCAAAUAUGAGCAUGGGGGCGAAAGACUAAUCGAACUGUCUAGUAGCUGGUUACCGCCGAAG
rnacentral:rRNA from 1 species